AGCGAACGGAUAAGGAGCUUGCUCCUUUGAAGUUAGCGGCGGACGGGUGAGUAACACGUGGGUAACCUACCUAUAAGACUGGAAUAACUUCGGGAAACCGGAGCUAAUGCCGGAUAACAUAUAGAACCGCAUGGUUCUAUAGUGAAAGAUGGUUUUGCUAUCACUUAUAGAUGGACCCGCGCCGUAUUAGCUAGUUGGUAAGGUAAUGGCUUACCAAGGCGACGAUACGUAGCCGACCUGAGAGGGUGAUCGGCCACACUGGAACUGAGACACGGUCCAGACUCCUACGGGAGGCAGCAGUAGGGAAUCUUCCGCAAUGGGCGAAAGCCUGACGGAGCAACGCCGCGUGAGUGAUGAAGGUUUUCGGAUCGUAAAACUCUGUUAUUAGGGAAGAACAAAUGCGUAAGUAACUGUGCGCAUCUUGACGGUACCUAAUCAGAAAGCCACGGCUAACUACGUGCCAGCAGCCGCGGUAAUACGUAGGUGGCAAGCGUUAUCCGGAAUUAUUGGGCGUAAAGCGCGCGUAGGCGGUUUCUUAAGUCUGAUGUGAAAGCCCACGGCUCAACCGUGGAGGGUCAUUGGAAACUGGGAAACUUGAGUGCAGAAGAGGAAAGUGGAAUUCCAUGUGUAGCGGUGAAAUGCGCAGAGAUAUGGAGGAACACCAGUGGCGAAGGCGACUUUCUGGUCUGUAACUGACGCUGAUGUGCGAAAGCGUGGGGAUCAAACAGGAUUAGAUACCCUGGUAGUCCACGCCGUAAACGAUGAGUGCUAAGUGUUAGGGGGUUUCCGCCCCUUAGUGC
rnacentral:rRNA from 1 species